AACGAACGCUGGCGGCAGGCUUAACACAUGCAAGUCGAGCGCCCCGCAAGGGGAGCGGCAGACGGGUGAGUAACGAGUGGGAAUCUACCCAUCUCUACGGAAUAACGCAUGGAAGCGAGUGCUAAUACCGUAUACGUCCUUCGGGAGAACGAUUUAUCGGAGAUGGAUGAGCCCGCGUUGGAUUAGCCAGUUGGUGGGGUAAAGGCCUACCAAGGCGACGAUCCAUAGCUGGGCUGAGAGGAUGAUCAGCCACACUGGGACUGGGACACGGCCCAGACUCCUACGGGAGGCAGCAGUGGGGAAUAUUGGAAAAUGGGCGCAAGCCUGAUCCAGCCAUGCCGCGUGAGUGAUUAAGGCUCUAGGGUUGUAAAGCUCUUUCACCGGUGAAGACAAUGACGGUAACCGGAGAAGAAGCCCCGGCUAACUUCGUGCCAGCAGCCGCCGUAAGAC
rnacentral:rRNA from 1 species